CGACCGGCGCACGGGUGAGUAACGCGUACGCAACUUACCUCCAAGCGGGGCAUAGCCCUGGGAAACUGGGAUUAAUACCCCAUAGAAUUCAUUAAUCGCAUGAUAAAUGGAUUAAAGUGUUAGCGCUUGGAGAUGGGCGUGCGUCCUAUUAGCUAGUUGGUGAGGUAACGGCUCACCAAGGCGACGAUAGGUAGGGGGCGUGAGAGCGUGACCCCCCACACGGGUACUGAGACACGGACCCG
rnacentral:rRNA from 1 species